UAACACCUUACUCUCUCGAUAGGGCCUUGUGACACCGACCCAAAGCUAAGAUUACUCUCACUCAGAAAAACUCAUUCCAAAACUCUUUCAAUUUCGUGCACAGAGACAUAACCAUAUCUACCUUCUGCACCGACACCAAAUCCAUAAUUCUACACCUAGACCCCGAAUCCAUCAUACUGAAACCCUAGACCUUUCUCCUCUCUUUGACAACCAAAUUAGUUUCUACAUCAAAGCCUCUCCACUCCGCCAUCCCAAUCGCAGCUUGGGAGGCCCAACGAGACUGCUCCUCCUUCAACUUCACCCCACGGCUGCUCAGCCUUGAGUGGAUCUAAAACCUCUUGUCAAACUUCGAUUGCUCUUCUAGAUAUCGAACACCGGCUCAUCGAUUAGUAUCGCGACAAGUUGUUCUCCUCUCGACUCAGUGCUGUGCACGAAAUUGAAAAGCUUGACCAUGGUGGAUUUUGGUUCUUUUCUGAUGCAAAUGAAGGGGAAAUUGGGAUAAGGUUGCCUGGUAGCCGACUAAGGAAAAUAAAGGAAGAAGGAGAGGGAAAAGAAACGGAACGGGGGGAGAGGAAGAAGAAAGGAGGAGAAGGAAAUAAGAAGACCUUCAUUUUCUGUGGGAGGGGCUUGCUUUUAUUGGAGAGAAAAGGGAAGAAGAGAUGGGAAGGAGAGAAAGAAAAGAAAGAAGAAGAAAAGAACGGAGGGAAGACAGGGAAGAGAAAGGAAAGAACGAAAGAAAAACAAAAGAGGGAGAGGGAGCACAGUAAGAAGAAGGAGAGAUUGAAUCUUGAGGUGAUGUUUAGUCGUCUUUUGUACAAUGGAAUAGUGGAUGAGGUUUCACCAUUCAUUUGAACGGGUGAGGAGGAAGUUUCUGCUUGAGAUGUGAGCGACUUCGAUGCCCAAAUUGGGUUUUCUUGAUAUGACUGCUUUCUUGAUUUUAUAGUUUUCAUUAUGUUCUUAAGAUUUCUGAAAUUAGUCUUGUGACUGUGAGGGUGUUUUCAUUCCUUGUUUUCUCCAAUGAGGCCAUGAGACUUAAAUGUCACUGAUGAGACCAUGCCGCUAUGUACUUGGUUAUUGACUGCAGUUAAAGAUGCUUCUCGAUUGAUUUUCUAUGAUUAUAUUGGAAAUGAAGCAUAGUGGGGAUUGGUUUGUACGAUUGGGAACUGCUGAUCUAUGUUUGCUUCGUAUUGUAUUUUUAUCCUAAAUGCAUCAUUCAACUCUUGCUUUGUAUAUCUGUACCUAGUUUCAUAUAUUCUGUGCUUUUUGGAAUUUCCAGAUUGGUUAGAUCUUGAUUUUACUUCCUUCACUCUUUUUAGUUGAUGAGUUUGAGAAUUUGAGAUGUUGUGAGUUGCUUGUUCUACUAAUAACUUUGAAUGAUUCAACUUUGUUAGAGUUGUCUAGAGAGUUACUGAGUUUCUCAACCGAUCCUAUUGGCUUUACUGCAAAUGAUAUAGUUAGUUACUUUUACUAUUAUCAAGGUACAUGAUCUAUCUGAGUUUGGUUACUCCUUUUGCUUUGUGACAUGGCUCACAUCAGUGGACUUGUUUGUGCUCAGGUACAUGAUCCUAGCAUUGACUAAUGAGAAAGGGUAUAAUUGAAUUGCAGAUGUAACUAGUGUUCUGCCCAUAUUGGUCCAGUUUCUGUUCUGGCAUGUGUAUCCCUCAGUGAACUAUCGAUCCAUAUGCAGCUGGGACUACAGAAAGAGAGCAAAAAACUCCUACAGAAGCUUCCAAAGCUAGACUCCAAUGAGCCCAUGAGAGCAGCAAAGCUAGACUCCUUAAGUAAAUUUCUAGAUGUAUAUUGCUAAGAGAGUAGUAUUAGAUGUACUCCUUUGGUGGAUGAAAGAUUACCUUUGCACAAUCUAUUUUGGUGCAUGAUGUGGAUUAUAACAAUAUCUUCUAUAUAUUGAUCAGCUACUGUUGAUUUGAUUA